AAGUCGUAACAAGGUUUCCGUAGGUGAACCUGCGGAAGGAUCAUUAACACUGAAAUCAUUGGAUCACAACUUUUUUUCAAAGUUGUGUUCCACAUGUCUACCCACUCUUGGACGCACUCGGAGACUGUGAAAAUCAGUCGCUUUUUUUCUCCCCAUUUUUUAAACCCAACCCCACACCAAAAUACACAUAACCAAUGCCAAUGACUGAUAUCACCAGUUUGUUAUAAAUUGUAAAACAACUCUUAACAACGGAUAUCUUGGCUCUC
rnacentral:misc_RNA from 1 species